ACUCCUACGGGAGGCAGCAGUGGGGAAUAUUGCACAAUGGGGGAAACCCUGAUGCAGCCAUGCCGCGUGUGUGAAGAAGGCCUUCGGGUUGUAAAGCACUUUCAGUAGGGAGGAAGGUAGUGUAGUUAACACCUGCACUAUUUGACGUUACCUACAGAAGAAGCACCGGCUAACUCCGUGCCAGCAGCCGCGGUAAUACGGAGGGUGCGAGCGUUAUCCGGAAUUACUGGGUUUAAAGGGUGCGUAGGCGGGCGAUUAAGUCAGAGGUGAAAGCUUUCAGCUUAACUGAGAAAUUGCCUUUGAUACUGAUUGUCUUGAAAAUAUGUUGAGGUUAGCAGAAUGUGGCAUGUAGCGGUGAAAUGCAUAGAUAUGCCAUAGAAUACCAAUUGCGAAGGCAGCUAACUGGGCAUUAUUUGACGCUGAGGCACGAAAAGCGUGGGGAGCGAACAGGAUUAGAUACCCUGGUAGGAUAGCGU
rnacentral:rRNA from 1 species